ensembl:lncRNA
CUGGAAUUGUUUCCUUACCAUUAAGCAAGAAAAGACCCUCAAAAGGCCAUUCCGUGAUACACUCCCACCCCCAAACUCCUGUAUUUUACACAAUUUUGUUUCCUAUCACAGGAAGAAGGGAGUGCUCAACUUGGCGAGGGGAACUGAGGAGGGCUGCACAACAUGAUCCACAUAAGAAGCACAUGGGCUUUGAAGGUAGAGCGACAAACCCGGGUUUCUACCCUGAUUCAGUCACUUCUGUGCUCUGUAUGUGGAAACUGAGAUAACAGUUAAGUGAGCUGCCCAUGGCUAUGUGACUAUAAGUAUUAGAGCACAGAUUCAAAUUUGUCCUGCUUCAAAGUCAAAAGUUCUUCCAGAAAGGGAACACAGACUUCCACCUGGAAUAGAAGAAGUGUUCCAUUAAAAGAGGACCCUACUGCCAUAGAAAACCCUGGAUCUAUGAAGACAUCAAAGACAGAGACCUAAUUUUUCCUCUCAAAAAAUGAACCUUGAUUUCCAUUCAAUAUUGAAUUUGAUGUUUAAAAAUUCUGAAGUAUGUCAGAGCUGAAGUUUAUCUAUGCUAUUUUGUACUGGAUACAUCUACUAGUGUGACAAAUUAGAUGUUUUCCCAGAGUAGCAGUUGUCUGAAUUCAUCUGCAGGAAGGAUACAUACAGGUACGUUUUCAGAAUAUUGUCAGAGUGGUCUUAGCUUCUCAAAGCAGCUUCUCCUAUACCAUUUUGUUAGGGGAAGCACAUUGACUGAAACUGCCCACCCUGGCCAGGCACCAUAGUAACUAUUUGCAUGAGUCAUUUUACAACAGGAGGUCCUGGUGAGGAACACAGAACUAAUAAGCUACCACCAACCAGAAGAGUUCGGGAAAGGUCAAAAGGAGACACCACAUGUCUGACCACCUCCCAGAAUCCUCCCUGGCAUCCAUCUUGGCUGAACAAGGUGUGCACCACCAGGAAGGACCCUGAGUGGGAAUGAUUGGCUAAAGACAACCCGGAAACUAAUCCCAUCACCAUAAAACCUACAAGCUGUGUGGCAGAGCUGUUCUCCUGGGUUCCCUUACCCUACUGCUCUCCACCCAGGUGCCCCUUCCCAAUAAAAUCUCUUGCUUUGUCAGC